rnacentral:lncRNA from 1 species
CAAAAAAUAACCUCACUGUAGCCUCGCAGAGUUACUCUUAUGCAGAUCUGAAAACUGAGGCACAGAGAGAAUAAGCAACUUGUCCAACCUCAGGGAACGACUGUUGCAGAGGUCAAGUUGGAAUGGUGGAAGGACGCACAUGGUUCCAUUUCAAGGAGGAGAAGCUCUCUUCCCACUUCGGAAUUUUGAGUCCAUUUAAGGAAUCAGUGCAUACUGUAACUGCAGAAAGAAUUGAGGAAGCCAUGGGGAGGCAGGCGCCACUAAGGUGCUACACGAUUCCUGAAAAAAUCCAC